GUCAACUACCCUCCACUAAACCCUAAAGCGGUUGUAGUGGGGGCUUGAAAAAUCCAGACGCCUGAAGCCAUGGGAGCCGAUCGGUCCACCGACUUCCUAAAAGAAGGGCAGGGUCGACAAGCCGGUUGACCAGACUCAGUCCGCUUGCGGGCUACGUUGCGUACAGGUCGUCAAGACCCACCCCGGGGUGCUUCUUGAGCUCCGGGCUCUGGA
rnacentral:sRNA from 21 species